rnacentral:rRNA from 1 species
CCUACGGGGGGCAGCAGUAGGGAAUCUUUCACAAUGGACGAAAGCCUGAUGGAGCAACGCCGCGUGCAGGAUGAAGGCCUUCGGGUUGUAAACUGCUUUUAUAAGCGAGAAAUAUGAUGGUAACUUAUGAAUAAGGAUCGGCUAACUACGUGCCAGCAGCCGCGGUCAUACGUAGGAGCCGAGCAUUAUCCGGAGUGACUGGGUGUAAAGAGGUGCGUAGGUGGCAUAAUAAGUGGCUAGUGAAAGCUGGUGGCUCAACGAUUCAGACUAUUAGCUAAACUGUUAAGCUCGAGACUGUUAGGGGUAACUGGAAUUUCUAGUGUAGGGGUGAAAUCCGUAGAUAUUAGAAGGAACACCAAUAGCGAAGGCAGGUUACUGGGACGGUACUGACACUGAGGCACGAAAGCGUAGGGAGCAAACAGGAUUAGAUACCCGAGUAGUC